UCUUCUAGUGAGUAUAUGAAGAUGAAGGAGACCUGUUGCUUCAAUUUGUUUGCUGGCUUCAUUGACAGUUCUACAUUCAAACAAUUCUGCAGUGUGAAAAUGAAGUUAAAUGGGUCCUCUUAGAACUUGAAUGGGCAGAUUUUCAAAUGCUCAUCAACCACUGUUUUCAACAAGAGGAGGUGGAUGUUGAGAAUACUUGAAAAUCUGAUCACUUCAUGUGGUGCUUUAGGCCUGAGGGAAGUACAACCAGAAAAGGGAACAAAGUGAACAGUAAUUAAUCUAAUAGUCAUUGUUUCUUCCCAUCCUAUACCCCAUCUCAAAGUCCUUUCUACCAUGAUGAACUUCCAGUUCCCUACUGAGGUGUUCCAUCAUUCCUGAAGUCUUCUGCUCCAGAAAGAGGUGUUCCCAACUACCUCCACCUCACCCCCUUGGCUUAGCUAUCUAUCUCAAAGCUCCCAUGCUUGGACUUUUAGCUACUCCCUUGCAUGUAUAUCUCAAGUAAAAUACCACUUGUUUC